CCCUUAGACGUUCUGGGCCGCACGCGCGCUACACUGACGAAGGCAACGAGCUUUCCUUUACCGAAAGGUACGGGUAAUCUUUUGAAACUUCGUCGUGCUGGGGAUAGAUCCUUGCAAUUUUUGAUCUUAAACGAGGAAUUCCUAGUAAGCACAAGUCAUCAACUUGCGUUGAUUACGUCCCUGCCCUUUGUACACACCGCCCGUCGCUACUACCGAUUGAAUGGUUUAGUGAGGCCUUCGGAUCCGCGACUCGUUUUGUGGAGAAGUUGGACAAACUCAGUCAUCUAGAGGAAGUAAAAGUCGUAACA
rnacentral:rRNA from 1 species